AAUUCUCUAGUUCUACUUGUCCUUGCUUAAGAAGAAUUUGGAUGGUCAAAUUCAACUGGAAUUUCACUUUCUCGUCCUGUAAUCUAAAUGGAAAUAGGCUUUAAAUAAGUAGGUAUAGUACAUUUACAUAUCAAAUUUAAUAUAAAAUUCAGAUCAGCUAAAAGAACAUCCUGGAGAUUAGUGUGAAGAAUAUUUUCCCAAGUGAUUAGCUUUCCUGGACACCCCAG